CCGCCAUUUUGUUCAUCCCUGAAGAACUAAGGGUCCUGAGAAUUUAACCAUGUCAACACAGUCUUUUUUACAUUAUUAACUAAAGAAAAGUGAGUGUCUUUUAAAAAGUUUUUUGAGAUUAGGAAACAAAAAGAAGUCAGAAAGAACCAAAUCAGGAUUGUAAGGUGGAUGCCUAAUAAUUUCCAGUGGAAAUGCUCACAA